CAAUAGCGUAUAUUAAAGCUGUUGCAGUUAAAAGCUCGUAGUUGGAUCUCGGGUCCAGACUAGCGGUUCACCUCGCGGUGAUUACUGCCCGUUCUGACCUACUACCGGUUGUCCCUUGGUGCUCUUGAUUGAGUGUCUCGGGUGGCCGGAACGUUUACUUUGAAAAAUUAGAGUGUUCAAAGCAGGCAGUACGCCUGAAUAAUGGUGCAUGGAAUAAUGGAAUAGGACCUCGGUUCUAUUUUGUUGGUUUUCGGAACUUGAGGUAAUGAUAAAGAGGGACAGACGGGGCGAUUUCGGUAUUUACGGGUGUUAGAGGUGAAAUUCUUGGAUCGCCGUAAGACGAACUACUGCGAAAGCAUUUGCCAAGCAUGUUUUCCUUAAUCAAGAACGAAAGUCAGAGGUUCGAAGACGAUCAGAU
rnacentral:rRNA from 1 species